AUGAAAAAUGUUGAAAAUUAGAUGCAUCUUUGUGAUUUUUGUGUAUCGAGAAAAUUUUAAGAUGUCGUGUUUCCGCUAGGUCGGAUCCUCGGAAAUAUAAUGUAGUAGCAUUGUUUAAAAAAUGAAACAAUUCGGGG